rnacentral:rRNA from 1 species
GGAUGAGCUGUGCCUAGGGGUGAAAGGCCAAUCAAACUCGGAGAUAGCUGGUUCUCCUCGAAAACUAUUUAGGUAGUGCCUCGUGUAUAACUGAUUGGGGUAAAGCACUGUUUCGACUAGGGGGGUUUUACGACCUUACCGACUCGAUGCAAACUCAGAAUACGAUCAAGUUCAAUCACGGGAGACACACUGCGGGUGCUAAGGUCCGUAGUGGAGAGGGAAACAGCCCAGACCGCCAACUAAGGUCCCCAAGUCAUAGCUAAGUGGGAAACGAAGUGGGAAGGCUAAGACAGCUAGGAGGUUGGCUUAGAAGCAGCCAUCCUU